rnacentral:rRNA from 1 species
CGGGAGCCUGUAAUGUGACUACGCAAGUAGCUCAUUGCGCGACUGUAAAUAAUGCAGUGGUUCGCAAGUCAGUCUUAGGAUUGGCAACACUUUCGAAUUGCGGGGACGCCCUAAAGCUCCAGCUACCGUCUUAUUUUAGAAACAUCAUAGGACACCUGUGGUAAUCACACAGGGUAUGGUAAUAAUGCUGAAGAUGUACAAUGGGUUAUCCGCAGCCAAGCUCCGUCAGUUGUUCGUAAGCCAAUUGGCUUAUCGAAACCCGGGGAAGGUUCACAGACUAAGUGGAAGUGGGCGGAGUUCAAUUGCGAGCUCUGCUUAAGAUAUAGUCGGGCCCCUUGCGAAAGCUUGGGGGGUUGGUGGUACACCCAAGCUGAAUUUGGUUGUUCGCCAUGACCUACUGUUCCGUAGGUGAACCUGCGGAAGGAUCAUUACCGUGGGGCUUUGGCCCCAUUGAGAUAGCACCCUUUGUUUAUGAGUACCCUUGUUUCCUCGGUGGGCUUGCCCGCCAUGAGGACAUUAAAACCCUUUGUAGUAGCAGUAACUUCAGUUAAUAAUAAAUAUUAAAACUUUCAACAACGGAUCUCUUGGUUCUGGCAUCGAUGAAGAACGCAGCGAAAUGCGAUAAGUAGUGUGAAUUGCAGAAUUCAGUGAAUCAUCGAAUCUUUGAACGCACAUUGCGCCCUUCGGUAUUCCGUUGGGCAUGCCUGUUCGAGCGUCAUUUAAACCUUCAAGCUAUGCUUGGUGUUGGGUGUUUGUUCCGCCUCAGCGCGUGGACUCGCCUCAAAUUUAUUGGCAGCCGGUAUGUUGGCUUCGUGCGCAGCACAUUGCAAGCGAUUUCAGCAGACCUCCUUCCACAAGCCUUUUUUUACUUUGACCUCGGAUCAGGUAGGGAUACCCGCUGAACUUAAGCAUAUCAAUAAGCGGAGGAAAAGAAACCAACAGGGAUUGCCCCAGUAACGGCGAGUGAAGCGGCAAUAGCUCAAAUUUGAAAUCUGGCUCUUUCAGGGUCCGAGUUGUAAUUUGCAGAGGGCGCUUUGGUGUCGGCAGCAGCCUAAGUUCCUUGGAACAGGUCAUCAUAGAGGGUGAGAAUCCCGUAUGUGGCUGCUUGUCUUCACCGUGUAAAGCCCCUUCGAUGAGUCGAGUUGUUUGGGAAUGCAGCUCUAAAUGGGAGGUAAAUUUCUUCUAAAGCUAAAUAUUGGCCAGAGACCGAUAGCGCACAAGUAGAGUGAUCGAAAGAUGAAAAGCACUUUGGAAAGAGAGUCAAAAAGCACGUGAAAUUGUUGAAAGGGAAGCGCUUGCAGCCAGACGUGCCCGUAGUUGCUCAUCUGGGGUUUUCCCCAGUGCACUCUUCUAUAGGCAGGCCAGCAUCAGUUCGGGCGGUUGGAGAAAGACCUGUGUCACGUAGCUCUCUUCGGGGAGUGUUAUAGGGCAGGUGGAAUGCAACCAGCCUGAACUGAGGUCCGCGCAUCUGCUAG